AUAUAUCGGAACGUACCCUAGAGUGGGGGAUAACGUAGCGAAAGUUACGCUAAUACCGCAUACGAUCUAAGGAUGAAAGUGGGGGAUCGCAAGACCUCAUGCUCGUGGAGCGGCCGAUAUCUGAUUAGCUAGUUGGUAGGGUAAAAGCCUACCAAGGCAUCGAUCAGUAGCUGGUCUGAGAGGACGACCAGCCACACUGGAACUGAGACACGGUCCAGACUCCUACGGGAGGCAGCAGUGGGGAAUUUUGGACAAUGGGCGAAAGCCUGAUCCAGCAAUGCCGCGUGAGUGAAGAAGGCCUUCGGGUUGUAAAGCUCUUUUGUCAGGGAAGAAACGGUGAAGGCUAAUAUCCUUUGCUAAUGACGGUACCUGAAGAAUAAGCACCGGCUAACUACGUGCCAGCAGCCGCGGUAAU
rnacentral:rRNA from 1 species